AUCCGGCAGGCGGUACGCUGGCAGGGGGCGGGGUGGCCCUGAGCAGCCUCAGGCCUGGGCCAUGCGACUGGCGUGUCCGGCCCCCAUGCCACGCCGCCGGGGCGGAGCCGCUGAAGCCAGGGCAGAAAUGAUAGGGCUGAGGCUUCAGAUCCUUGUCUCAGCACUUGCAGGGUCUCCCAUCCGAAGAAGAGUACCUUACUUGGAGGAGAGAGAGCUGGAGAGUCGUAUGGGAUGAGGUCAGAAAGCUGAAGGGCCAGAUCAUAGUAGGACUUGUAAUUAGGGAAAGGGACUUGGACUUUUCUAUUGUAAACAUAAGCAAAAGUCUACUUCCACCCAUAUGAUAAUGUUUCCAGGGGGUUGUAGAAUAAGAAUGGAAAUACAUUCAUGGGGAAAGAAGAAUCUACAGAAUGAAAACAUGUGUCUGGGGAUGUCCCUUGCCCGUCCAGACUUCUCUCUUCCAUGGCCGUGUCAGCAGCCAUCCAGUCUACCAAAUCCAGGGCUAGCUCUGCACAUCACUUUUGAAAGACCAACUCCAAAGCCAAAUCCUGUAUUUUGGUAAUUGUAUAAAAGCCAGUUUUCCCCACAUCUCCUAUACUAGAAAGCACUUUUCACGAGGGGACUGGUUUGCUUCUCUUCACUCGGGCAUGGGGAAAUACUGGGUACUAGAGGGUAGCGUACCUAUAGAGGGGCUGGUGGGAAAGGAGGAGAGACAGUUUCAGAGUUUGUAAGGGACAGGUAUAGGGAGCAGCAAAGAAUGCCAUUUUUAGGAUCUGGACCAGGCGCAGCUAUUCCUCUAUAAGGAACACAGGUCCCACAACCAUGUUUAUAAACACUUUAUUCAGGUCAUUACAGUGGGUAAGUUCCCAGCUAAGUGCACAGAUACAAGCGAGGUAUUUCUGGGUUAAUGAAGGAGCCAAUGGGUUACAUGGGACUGAGCACUGUAGCCAAGGAGUGAGCACCAAGGUUUCAGAGUCAGACCGGGCUAGAGACCCUGUGCUUGGGGGGUGGGGGCCUAUGUCCUAACACAAACAGCUGCUUUCUCCUCACAGCUGGCCAUACUGCAAGGCGGUCUUCAACAACAAACCACUCAAUGAUGUUAAGGGAACAGACAGUAAAGAAAUAAAACCUGUAUCCUGGUGGACCUCAGCUAUUGCUGCUUUGUAAGUUGUAACAGCAUGUGAAUAAUAUUUUAGAAUAUUCCAGUAAGGAGCCACAGAGCGAUCAAGUCUGUGUCCUUCUCUCUCAGUGCCUCUUUGCCUGUUUUCUUUCAUACCUGAAUUCCAUCUUUAAGCUGUGUAUCCAGAUGUUGAAAGUCUCAUGCAUACGAGAGAAGUCUCUCCGAUGACAAAGUUUCUCUGAUGACAAAAGUUCCUUCCACAGCAGCAUCCUCUGAGUUAUUGAUACCAAAGCAAGGUCUCUGGUUGGCUACUCUCUGAAAAGAGCCAUCCCACCCCUGACCAAUGCCUAAUUGCAGGCAUCAUUUAGAAGACUGACUUAGGAAGCAGAAUGUGAAUAAAAAUAGGAAACUCCAAAAAGCUAGUUUAUCAUCAUAUCUGGGCCAGGUAAUGAUCAAGUUCACAGGUGGUCUUACUUGAAGGCUACAGAAUUGUUGGUUGCAUAAUUAUCAGAAACAUGUUGGAGUCCACAGCUGAUAAUCUGUCAACUGAUGGGUUAAACUCUUUUGUCUAUAGGAAUGAGACAGUCAGAGUCUACUUCAAACCUUCUCUAACCCCCAUGCAAAAUACUGAAUCAGAAGGGGAGCCACACUCUCUACAGCAUUUCAAAAGGAAGAAAAGCCUGUCACAAGGUUACAAUUUUAAUUCUGAAGGGGUACCUUGAGUUCCAUUUGGCACAUUUCUGAAUUAAACUGUCAGGAACAGACUUAAGGCCAUUUUAUCAGUAUUUAACUUUUUGGUGAAAUAGAAACUUUGGUCAUAGCCAUAGUUCUAUAAAAAUUUUUAAAGAGGUUAUUUCUGAUUAAAACAAUAUUUUUAGCAAGUGAUACAUAACAAUAACAAGAACGUAAACAUCUUCAAAUCUAACACAAGAGCAAAAGCUCUUCACCAGCAUCUUAUCUUAAAUACAAUGAGAGUCAGUAGUGCUUACAAAAAGUAGAGGGUUUUCUUACAGGGAAUCAGAAAAUUAUCAAAAUAAGGCACAGACUGUUGUUAUCACAGAUUUGUGUUAGGCAGUAGUGUUUUUUUCUGGAAGGCACAAGUUGGAAAUCGAUUACCCAAAGGUUUAAAAUGUGGUUCUAAAAAUAACGCUGAAUGACAAGGAUACGUAACUGGGAGCAAUGGCAAUUAAUCAGUGAUGACAUUACAUCUAGAUGAUAGCACUCUGGAACUUCAGAAGGCCUCUUCAUCAGCCCAUAUGUAAAUCGGGAAAGACACUGUGCAAAAUGUGGACGGGGCCGGCCGGCCUUCUAAUUUGGAGUGCAUAUUCUUAAAAAACAAAGGCACGUUUCCUAGAAAUUCAAUUUUACAUUAACACAAAAUAAUCACUUUAGAGAUAGCAGUAGGUAAGCUUGAUAAUAUAG